GACGGAGGAUGCAAGCGUUAUCCGGAAUUAUUGGGCGUAAAGCGUCCGUAGGCGGUUUCAAAAGUCUGUUGUUAAAGCCCACAGUUCAACUGUGGAUCGGCAAUGGAAACUGUGAGACUAGAGAGUGGUAGGGGUAGAGGGAAUUCCUAGUGUAGCGGUGAACUGCGUAGAUAUUAGGAAGAACACCAGUGGCGAAGGCAAUCCCCUGGACCUGUACUGACGCUCAUGCACGAAAGCGUGGGGAGCAAACAGG
rnacentral:rRNA from 1 species